GUGGGGAAGGAAUUUUAACACUGGGUCUUCCUGAAUGAGGGACCCUCACUUCUCAUAAGAGUCUGACUUUCAAGUUCUGCUCGUGUCCCAGGUCCUUGGUUUCUGUGGGAAGGAGGAUCUUUGGUCCCGAGGUCAUUUCAGCUCACAAUUUCUUCUUUUGUGCCUGCCCUGGCGACAUGACUUUGCAGAUUUUCUGAAAGGCUGUUCUUAAUCACUCUGUUGAUAAGAGAUGGGGUCGGUUGAACUGGUCCUGGAGGGCCCAUGAUUGGGUGCUAGCAAAGACUCAUUGCCUCUUUGGUUGGAAGGAAUCAAGAUGAGCAUUUCAUCCCAAUGGCUAAAGAACAAUGACUAUCCUCUUCGACAUCCUUGACAGAGAGCCAUCUGCCCGUGAUUGGGAAGGUUCCUUCAUAUCAACAAUCAGACAAGACUAUUCUGAGGAAGGAAGAGUAAACAUUAACCCCAGGAAACAGCAGGGUUCCAGGGCCGAGUGCGGGAAGUGCUGGCACGGGGAGCACCGAGGACUCGGCCAGGGCUGGGCGCCAGUCGACGGAUUCCCAAUAUUGUCUUCCAGUUGCUAGACUACGCUGCUUUCCAGUACAUUAUUUGGCAUGUAAAAACUCAAAUGUAAGUAAAGCAUUUUAAUACAAAUAAUUUCAACUGCAACAAGGCAAUUGGCUUCUGAUUAAGUUGGCAAGAAAAGGUAAUGAACUCAUUCCGAUUGACAUAUUUAGAGUUCGUCUUGCCAAAUCCAAUUGGCAGCUUCAUAAUUAUGGAAACGUCCAUGUUAUUUCCACUCAAUCAGGGUUAGGCCUGCUGGUAUCUGAUUCAAUGUUUACUUCAUGAAUGAGGUCAGUUCCCAGCACAGCUGGGGUUUUAACAAAGGAAUCAGAGCUGCUGAUCAGCAGACAGCAUUCCCACCAGAAUCUGACCGUAGUUGUCAGGGCUUCCAGGGCCACCUUCCCACAGAUCUCCCAGGUUCGCCGCUCUCUCUGGCACUUUCUGGGGCCUGGCUCUGCUCACUGCUCUGCGAACGCUUCCCUGCAGAAGCAGAGGGAGCCCGGGCUGCAGCCCGGGCAGGAUGAGCUCACGUCCCAAGUUUCCCACAGCACAGCAGUUCACUCUGCAACCUGCCCCCUCGGUAUUGCAACAUCUCGCCCCUUACGAGCUUCAGAACUGCCAGGAAACGGGGUAGGUUUUUUUAAAAAAAUUAUUUAUUCCAGGAUGGCUCCACUUGUGUGGUGUAAGAGUGACUCAGAGUGCCUUGGAAGCCACCUCCAAAGGUAACUAUGUCCCACAGGCCGGAAUGUCCUCUGCGCCAACUCCCCACAGUGGUAAAAACAAAAACAAAAGCUCACAAGGGCUCAAAACACUCACUUUAAGAACACGCGUCUGCGGAGUGGGGUUACCGGGAAAACUGCAGAGGGCAGAAAGGAAGGAGACGCUGCACAGCAGGGCCACGGCUCAGCUCCAAAUGAGUUAGUUUAGAAGCAGCAAGGGACUUAAACGUCAUUGGCCUGUGCUCCCGAGUCCUGAGCCGCUACAGUGGGACGGCCGUGGCCGUGAUAAAGCCUGAGGUCAAAGUCCGAAGGGGCUCUCUUCCCAGCUCUGGCAGCCAUCCUUUGUCUUAGUGCCAUAAGGUCAUAGGAAGCUUAGGGAUAGUGAUUUGGUUCAGAUCCCAAAAUAAUUGUGGGCAUCAUGUGCUGGUACAGUUUCACCUAAGAAAAUCUGUUGGGGAACAAAAUCUGGAGUAGGAGAUGGUUGAGGAACUGGAUGCAAAGGCAGGUUCUCUAAGGAAGCUUCCCCCUUCUCAGCACUGACGAGGCAGCAUGUGCACCGAGCUCUACACUCUCAUCUCCUAACGAACAGUGAGACCAACGGCCGCUGAUGUAGACGAACACAGAGGAGACGUAGUCCUGGAUGUAGAGAGGGAAGCUCUCCCUUCCGUUGACCUCAACAGAGGUGGUUUUAGGGUGAAGACUCCACUUUCUCUUCUCUAAAGAGUGGGUCCAGCUGCCACAGGAGACUUUAGAACAUCUGUCCCCACUUGGAGGUCAGCAUCCCCAUAGGGUCCAAAGAGCUGGCUCAAGUGCAAUUCACAGCCUUUCUCUUACCUGCUUCCCCAAGAGCACAACCUGUGUCAGCCCUCCGGUGUGAAGUCAUCUCCCUGUUCCUGCUACUUACCCAAACGCCAGUUACUUGCCGUCCAUUCUGUAGCCUCUUUUAUCCAACUUUGGCAUAGUCAUGUCAUCUUAUAAUCUAAAUGAUCUUUUCCCUGCAUAUGAAGUCUUUGAAGAUGGGACCCUAAACAGAGUUCAUCUUUUUGCCCUCGCUGGCCUCAUCACCGGUGCUCUCGGCCCAUUCAGCUACAGCCACGCUGGCCACCCUGCUGAUGCUUGAACGCCCCAGACACAUACCCCGCACAGAGACUUGGCACAUGCUGUUCCCUCUGCCUGCGACACUCUUUCCUGGGUCAUCCACGUGGCUCCCUCAGUCCCUUCCUUCAGACGUAGGAAAGCGGGGUCAUGCGAGAGGAAAGACAGAGCCUCCUAUGAUUGAGGAACGCAGGUGUACGCUCCGCUGGGGCCAACUCGUCCUGCCUGGAGGAAAUGCAUCUGAAAUGUUGUCACCCUCCCCUGGUUGUGAACAGAGCUGUUUAACUGUUGGGGUCGUGGGCGAGGCAGCGCAUGCAGGCAGGCGGCCAUUACACAGGCUUUCCAGAGAGAGCUGGAAAGCUGAUGCCCAAGCCACAGGAAGAGGGACGGCCGCCUGCAGCCAACAGCCUGCCUGGAAAGUCUGCGUAAGGGACACCUGGAGGAAGCAGGGGCUCCAUCGCCUCCUCCGCCGGCUGUAACCCUGUCCUUCUCGCUCAGCCCAUCCGUCGGGGGUGCUCCCGGCUUCCCACCCCAGAGAUGCCGCUCCUGGACGCGCUCCUGGACGCUCACCACAUCCCUCGAGUUGGAAAGCUCUCCGAUUUCUCCCAACAAAUCAGAACUUCUUUUCUUUCAUCUCGUUUGAAAAGCCUUUUGUGAGAUUGCUAGUGACCCAAAUGUAACCUCUCUAUUCCUGUCUGAAGGGAAAAUAUUUCCAGAUUAGAGGGAGCGUUCUGCGGUGCCAAGACCAGGCAUAUAUGAAUACUUGAUUAUGCCUCCGAAACCCGGCCUCCCAAACACGCGCCAGUCACAGUGUCAGAAACGAACCGUAAGCAAGCAAAGAAACUGUGAAUCAAGGGGUUUAUUAUUUUCCCCUAUUAAGUAUUUUGAAACCAAAGUUUCCACAUUUUUAAGGGUUUGAUGUCAUAAAAUUCCCAUGUAUGACAGCAUUUUGAAAAACAGAGUCAUUGUGUGCGGGUGGAAUGUGAGAGGUUUAGUGUACAAGUUAGAAAAUAAAUCCCUAAGCUCGCAAUUUGAGAUGCAUAGACAGGGGGCCACUGAGCUGUAGCCUUUGCUACAAUGGCUUCACGUGAUGUUGAGACUGUCCCGGAAAAAUUCUUCGUCUUCUGAGGAGCCCCAGGACCUCCAGCCAGCUGUUGUUACUCCAAGUGCAAUGGUGAGCGUCAGAGCCCCGCGCGGCCUGGAAGGAGAUGUGAGCAGAGGAAGGUGAAGUUGCCUGAGAAAAUGUCUUUCCUGGAAGAAUACUGGUGCUGUUCUCUGUCCGCCUGACAUGACGUCCAUGUCAAAUAUGGAGGACGAAUUUGUUGGCAGACCUUGGGGAUGAAAUGGGCUAGACUUCUAAGAAUAAAUGUACCUGGCCUCUCUAUUAACCAUUUCCAUA